rnacentral:rRNA from 1 species
AUUGAACGCUGGCGGCAGGCCUAACACAUGCAAGUCGAGCGGAUGAAGGGAGCUUUCUCCUGGAUUCAGCUGCGGACGGGUGAGUAAUUCCUAGGAAUCUGCCUUGUAUUGUGGUAUAACGUCCGGAAACGGGCGCUAAUACCGCAUACGUCCUGAUGGUGAAAGUGGGGGAUCUUCGGACCUCACGCUAUCAUAUGAGCCUAGGUCGGAUUAGCUAGUUGGUGGGGUAAAGGCCUACCAAGGCGACGAUCCGUAACUGGUCUGAGAGGAUGAUCAGUCACACUGGAACUGAGACACGGUCCAGACUCCUACGGGAGGCAGCAGUGGGGAAUAGUGGACAAUGGGCGAAAGCCUGAUACAGCCAUGCCGCGUGUGUGAAGAAGGUCUUCGGAUUGUAAAGCACUUUAAGUUGGGAGGAAGGGAAGUAAGUUAAUACCUUGCUGUUUUGACGUUACCAAAAGAAUAAGCACCGGCUAACUUCGUG